UACAGAGGUCUCAAGCGUUGUUCGGAUUCAUUGGGCGUAAAGGGUGUGUAGGUGGCGCCGUAAGUCGGGUGUGAAAGACUGCAGCUUAACUGUAGCAGUGCCUUUGAUACUGAUGGGCUUGAGUACAGAUGAGGCUGGCGGAAUGGGUGGUGUAGCGGUGAAAUGCAUAGAUACCAUCCAGAACACCGAUUGCGAAGGCAGCCGGCUAAACUGUAACUGACGCUGAGGCACGAAAGCGUGGGGAUCGAACAGG
rnacentral:rRNA from 1 species